ensembl:snRNA U6 U6 spliceosomal RNA
GUGUUCGCUUCGGCAGCACAUAUACUAAAAUUGGAACUAUACAGAGAAGAUUAGCAUGGCCCCUGUGCAAGGAUAACAUGCAAAUUAGUGAAGCUUUUCAGAUUUUU